rnacentral:rRNA from 1 species
AGGAUGAACGCUGGCGGCGUGCCUAAUACAUGCAAGUCGAGCGGUAACACUUCGGGUGACGAGCGGCGGACGGCAGAGUAACGCGUAGGAACGUACCCCAAACUGAGGGAUAAGCCCGGGAAACCGGGUCUAAUACCGCAUAUUAUCUUCGGAUCAAAGCUUUAAGCGGUUUGGGAGCGGCCUGCGUAUGAUUAGCUUGUUGGUGAGGUAAAAGCUCACCAAGGCGACGAUCAUUAGCUGGUCUGAGAGGAUGAUCAGCCUGACUGGAACUGAGAACGGUCCAGACUCCUACGGGAGGCAGCAGUAGGGAAUUUUCGCAAUGGGCGAAAGCCUGACGGAGCGACGCCGCGUGCACGAGGAAGGUCUUCGGAUCGUAAAGUGCUGUCGAGGGGACGAUUAGUGACGGUACCCCUGGAGGAACGCCCCGGCUAACGUACGUGCCAGCAGCCGC